UGGGAUCCUGAGAGCCAAAAACCGACAGGC
rnacentral:piRNA from 1 species